GCCCCAGUGAGGCUGUAUGUGGAAACCUGGGAUACUGGUUGGACCAAGCUAGCCAUGACUCUGCAGGCCUAGAUCGAGGAGGAGGAUCUCUGGCCGCUUGUCCUCUUCUCCAAACAUUCAGAAGUUGGGCUGAGCAUCUAAACUGUGAAGGUGGUUGGAAGAUAAUGUUGCCUGUUCUGUCUGUGGAAUGUGCCAAGGGAUCACCUGCACUGAUUUGGUGCACAUGGACCAUUCAGCUGCUAUUGAAGGCUGUAGCUCCCAGCUCCCUGCAAUUGUCCUGGUAGGGUCUGUCAGUGUCUCAGCUGCCGCCCCUACCCCGGAACAUUCAGUUUUGUGUUCGGGUCUGUCACGCAGUGGAUGAGGAUCCUGAGGGCACACGUGGGAAGGACAGACAAGACCAGAUCAAGUGGAGCCCCUUACCCAGGUAACUUGGUCUAGCCAGGCUAGAAUUGGACGCA
rnacentral:lncRNA from 1 species